rnacentral:lncRNA from 1 species
CAAAAUACUUACAUAUAUAAAUCUGUAGGAAAAGAAAUGGCUCAAAAUUCCCUCAAAACACAAACGGCACUUGAAUUUUUACAUGGCACGUCAAAACGUGAUUUGCCAUAAUACUCUUGACAUAUAGUUAUCUCAAUAUAUUUGAUACAAUAGUACAAUACUAGAAUAUAUAUUAUAUCUGUAUAUUUCUUUGUACUUUAAUCAUAUCAAGAACUCCACACCACUUUGUGCAUGCAAGACUCAGUAAUGAUAAUUAUCGAUCAUUGCAGUUGCAUGGAUGACAUGAUUUCGUAUAAAACAACCAAGUUUUGUUGGAGAUGCAAGGAUUCUACUAUUAGCCCAUUCGACUCUCUCAGAACGAAAUGACUUUCAUGUUUGAUGGUGCACAAACGGUUUUUUAAUUCCUGGUUCACAAGUUUCAGGCGAUUUACUUCGACUAUAAGGUUCGCUAACUGCAUCUUCUUCCGCCAUCGAGACCGCCUGGCUGAUUCCCGAUUUGAUAUCAUCCUCUUUCGCUUCCUAGUUUCUUCAGCAGAGUUAUCCGUAUGGAUUGUCUGUGAACCGGAGGUUGAAUGGAGCGGUGGUUCUGAUUGAAAAAGGGCGAAGAGUUCAUGAAUUUCAUUGGGAGUGAAACCUUCAUCAAGAACCGGGAAUUGGUACUGAGCCUGUUCUUGACAAGACAUGAUGAUUUGAGAAAUUGUACAAGAGAAUUGAGAAG